AGCCAAAACACAUGAAGAGAAAGAUCACAACACAAAUAAAAAAUAGAACAAAAGCAAGCACACCGUUGAAUUUGGAGAGGCGGAAUAGCUUUCUUGGAGUAGAAACACAAAGGGAGAAAAAACACAAAAUUAGAAAGUAAAAAAAUGUUGGAGAUCAUAAGAAAACAAAAAACCAAACAAAAUAUAUGAGCAAGUCACCUAAUAGGAAUCAGCUAUCGUACUCCUUAUUUAAUGAUGAAGGUCUUGAUAGUAUACAUUUAAUUCUCAAGAACUAUAGUUCUAUAUUUAUGAUGGUGCAUUAGUACAUAAUAUGUGGGUGUGUUGGAAAAAAUGAUGUUUCAUAGGCAAGCUCAAGUUGUUUAUAUAUACUUUUUAACAUUGAGCCUCAAAACUAAUACAUUUUAAUUUACAGGGAUUUGAACACAUAAGAGAGAAAAUCCAUGUUGUGGAGACUUACUCAAGCGCCAAACAAUACUCACUACUCUUGAAGAAGUGAAUGUCAAUGAACGAGCAUGUGACUGAGAAUAAUUUAGAAAAAAAUUAGAAUGAAUAUUUAAAUUACACACACGAGAAAAACAAAAUAAAUCAUAUUAAUACUAUUCUAUAUAAAAAUUAGUCAAUGACAAAAAAUGAAUGUAAAAGUUUAAUCAAAAUCCUACUGAUUUACUGUAUUUAAAUUUUAAUUUUCAAAUAAGACACAACAAAAAUAAACCGAAAUUCAAAUUAGUUUGAAAGAAAAAUGCAUUGAAG
rnacentral:lncRNA from 1 species